rnacentral:rRNA from 1 species
AUUGAACGCUGGCGGCAGGCCUAACACAUGCAAGUCGAGCGGAUGAAGGGAGCUUGCGCCUGGAUUCAGCGGCGGACGGGUGAGUAAUGCCUAGGAAUCUGCCUGGUAGUGGGUGAUAACGUCCGGAAACGGGCGCUAAUACCGCAUACGUCCUGAGGGAGAAAGUGGGGGAUCUUCGGACCUCACGCUAUCAGAUGAGCCUAGGUCGGAUUAGCUAGUUGGUGGGGUAAAGGCCUACCAAGGCGACGAUCCGUAACUGGUCUGAGAGGAUGAUCAGUCACACUGGAACUGAGACACGGUCCAGACUACUACGGGACGGAGCAGUGGGGAAUAUUGGACAAUGGGCGAGAGCCUGAUCCAGCCAUGCCGCGUGUGUGAAGAAGGUCUUCGGAUUGUGAAGCCCUUUAAGUUGGGAGGAAGGGCAGUAAGUUAAUACCUUGCUGUUUUGACGUUACCAACAGAAUAAGCACCGGCUAACUUCGUG